UAUGGUGAUAAAUAUUAUGACGGCACGAUUAUUAGGAACUUAAUAACUUUAUUUUUCUUUAUAAUCUUGUAUGACAGCAACUAGCAAGUAUUAUAAGAAUAAACUGAUAAUAAAUAAUUGAAUACUUACUAAAAUAAUUAAAUAUUUGAUUUAAAUUCUACAAUGUGUGUGAACUGGGAAAAAACUUCGAUACGAAAUCAGAGUCCAAUAGGUACGGAUGACAGAUCGGUUCGUUUCGCUGGUAUAUUAUACUAAAACGAUGUGUAUCGAUACAUUACAAUUUCUUCCUUGAAAAUGUUGAUACAAUAAUAUUAAUUUACAACAUUGCCUUGAUUAUUACUAGGUAUUAUACUUUCUCUACGCGCUGUAUAUUGGUAAAAGCCAAUAGGUUAUGAGCCUAUGAUCUAUGGUUAUCCAUGCGUCAGUGGCUCCCGUAUAAUAUUUGCCAAUUUUUACUUUCUGAUACGGUGGUUAGGCCCAGCACAAAUUUGACCCAACCCAUGUACAUCGCACGAGCACCACGCGCGUUACCGAUCCCAUCUCAAGUACAUGUUUUUUUAAUAGUAACGCAUAUUGAACGCAGCGCAUACCCGUGGGCCAUGAGUCAAGUGGUGGCCAGUAUCCAAGAUGACACCAAUCCAGCUGCAAGUUCUUCUCGAUUUAGAGUCAGAAUCUGAGGGAUAUCACUGCAGGUCAAGAGUGUAAUGCACAAAAGCCUAUUGGAAGCGAAAAAACUAGCAGUAUGUCUGGACCGUGGGAUGGGUUUAAUAAUCGACACUCUGUAUCAAACCACGCUCUACAAAAUACCUAGUCCACGCAUGUGCUACGCAUACAAUGUACAAGGCUGGGUCCAACUUGCGCCUGGCCUUACUUCAAUACUGAAUAAUUUAUUGCCUAUAUAUAGCUUAAUAGGGAUUCUAAUAAACAUUUUUUUCAAAUAUACUAUAAUUUUCAACA